GGAUGAAAAGAAUCAAGUUUUAACCACCAAUAUUUGGCUGCAAAUGUAUUGGACAGAUUACUAUUUACAAUGGAAUGUGUCUGAGUAUCCGGGGGUGAAGAAUGUUCGCUUUCCAGAUGGCCAGAUUUGGAAACCAGAUAUUCUUCUGUAUAACAGUGCUGAUGAGCGAUUUGAUGCUACAUUUCAUACCAAUGUUUUAGUGAAUUCUUCGGGACAUUGUC